rnacentral:rRNA from 1 species
GUAGGUGGCAAGCGUUGUCCGGAAUUAUUGGGGCGUAAAGCGCGCGCAGGCGGUUCUUUAAGUCUGAUGUGAAAGCCCACGGGCUCAACCGUGGAGGGUCAUUGGAAGCUGGAGAACUUGAGUACAGAAGAGGAAAGCGGAAUUCCACGUGUAGCGGUGAAAUGCGUAGAGAUGUGGAGGAACACCAGUGGCGAAGGCGGCUUUCUGGUCUGUAACUGACGCUGAGGCGCGAAAGCGUGGGGAGCAAACAGGAUUAGAUACCCUGGUAGUCCACGCCGUAAACGAUGAGUGCUAAGUGUUAGGGGGUUUCCGCCCCUUAGUGCUGCAGCUAACGCAUUAAGCACUCCGCCUGGGGAGUACGGCCGCAAAGGCUG